CCUACGGGUGGCAGCAGUGGGGAAUAUUGCGCAAUGGGCGAAAGCCUGACGCAGCGACGCCGCGUGAGGGAUGAAGGUCUUCGGAUCGUAAAACUCUGUCAGCAGGGAAGAACGGUCACUGUGCUAAUCAGCAGUGAAUUGACGGUACCUGCAAAGGAAGCACCGGCUAACUCCGUGCCAGCAGCCGCGGCAAUACGGAGGGUGCGUGCGUUAAUCGGAAUUACUGGGCGUAAGGCGCUCGUAGGCGGUAUGUCAAGUCAAGGGUGAAAUCCCCGCGCUCAACGUGGUAACUGCCUUUGAAACUGGCAAACGUGAGUGUGUGAGAGGAUAGUGGAAUUCCUGGUGGAGGAGUGAAAUCCGUAGAUAUCUGGAGGAACAUCAGUUGCGAAGGCGACUAUCUGGCACAUAACUGACGCUGAGGAGCGAAAGCGUGGGUAGCAAACAGGAUUAGAUACCCUUGUAGUC
rnacentral:rRNA from 1 species